rnacentral:lncRNA from 1 species
AAUAGGUCCUCCAAGGCAGGCCUAGAAUCCGAUGGUGGACGUCCAACAUCUAGCGCUACCACUUCCACUACAUCGACAGUAAACCAGCUGGCCCGUUGGUUCUCUCCCGACCUAUUAGAACUUGCCAGAGCAGGUGAACUACCGAGUACCAGCAGUCUGUCGCAGAAUCUUCUUAGCCUUGAAGAGAUUGAACGCCAAACGGCGCCCCCCGUCCAUAAUUAAAGUGUUUAUAAACAUUAUGUCGCUCGUGUUUUUGAUGUCUGGAAGAGGGGCGCUUGGGAGGGAACUGAACGGUUAAAACUGAUCAACGACUUUACUGUUAAUUUUAGUCAAAACAUGUUAAUGUCGCAAACAUAUUUAAUCACUUUAGAAAUUUGUCAAUUUGUCCUAAAAGGUGGGACAAAAAAAAUCGUUUCAAAAUCCUUACCCGCAAAGUUAUACUUAAAUUGUAACAUUUUGUAAAUACGACAAAAAAAGUUACAUAUACAAUGUGAUAGUGUUAUGAAAUCAUUGAAUUUAUUUUAACGUUUUUUCAGUUGUUCAUUUCAAAAUUUACAAACAAUAGACAAAGCAACAAGAUGAAAAAUUAAUCACACAUAAAAAAAAUAUCAAACACUACGGGUACAGAAUAGUGAAUUAAAUUGUUAAAUAUAUGCUGUAGUUUAUUUUAAAAAUAUGUUCCUUAAAAGUUAUAUUUUCGUAUAAAGCUAAAAAUUCUAAUCUUUAUUGACAUGGAAACAUUUAAAAAAUUGCAAUAUUGUAUUGGGAUUAAAACAGCAUAGUCACAUUAUAUAGUUGCUGUUUAUUUG